rnacentral:lncRNA from 1 species
AGGCCAACUCAAGAAGAAAACCAUUUGGCUGGUGGAACUCUGAAAAAGUUCAUCUUGACAUAGAGUCCAAUUAUAGACCAAAAGAAGAAAAUAGAUCAAGCAGAGCUUCUCAGCAAUCAGCAAUGAAAUAGGCUAUCCUAGAAGACUGGGAGUUCUCCCAUCACUGGAAGUUCAAGUCAUCUACAAGACUUUUUGUGGACAUGUUAUUUCAUGUCCCUUUGGUAUAUAUAUAUAUACACAUAAGUGUGUUUACUAUAUAUAUGUGAUUUAUAUGAGUUCUAUUAAUAGUUGCUGCACACUCUCUUCAACAAUUGGAAUUGUUAGUCUUUUUAAUUUUAGCCAUUCUGGUGGGUGUGGAGUGGUAUCUCAUUGUGGUUUUAAUGUGUAUUUCUAUAAAAAAAGAUUAUGUUGAGCACUGUUUUAUGUGCUUAUGGGCCAUUUUAAUUUUCUUCUCCAAAAUGUCC